GAUGAACGCUGGCGGCGUGCCUAAUACAUGCAAGUCGAGCGAACAGACGAGGAGCUUGCUCCUCUGACGUUAGCGGCGGACGGGUGAGUAACACGUGGAUAACCUACCUAUAAGACUGGGAUAACUUCGGGAAACCGAAGCUAAUACCGGAUAAUAUAUUGAACCGCAUGGUUCAAUAGUGAAAGACGGUUUUGCUGUCACUUAUAGAUGGAUCCGCGCCGCAUUAGCUAGUUGGUAAGGUAACGGCUUACCAAGGCAACGAUGCGUAGCCGACCUGAGAGGGUGAUCGGCCACACUGGAACUGAGACACGGUCCAGACUCCUACGGGAGGCAGCAGUAGGGAAUCUUCCGCAAUGGGCGAAAGCUUGACGGAGCAACGCCGCGUGAGUGAUGAAGGUCUUCGGAUCGUAAAACUCUGUUAUUAGGGAAGAACAAAUGUGCAAGUAACUAUGCACGUCUUGACGGUACCUAAUCAGAAAGCCACGGCUAACUACGUG
rnacentral:rRNA from 1 species